AAAUAGAUACCCGGGUAGUCCACGCCGUAAACGAUGAGUGCUAAGUGUUAGAGGGUUUCCGCCCUUUAGUGCUGCAGCUAACGCAUUAAGCACUCCGCCUGGGGAGUACGGUCGCAAGACUGAAACUCAAAGGAAUUGAUGGGGGCCCGCACAAGCGGUGGAGCAUGUGGUUUAAUUCGAAGCAACGCGAAGAACCUUACCAGGUCUUGACAUCCUCUGACAACUCUAGAGAUAGAGCGUUCCCCUUCGGGGGACAGAGUGACAGGUGGUGCAUGGUUGUCGUCAGCUCGUGUCGUGAGAUGUUGGGUUAAGUCCCGCAACGAGCGCAACCCUUGAUCUUAGUUGCCAGCAUUUAGUUGGGCACUCUAAGGUGACUGCCGGUGACAAACCGGAGGAAGGUGGGGAUGACGUCAAAUCAUCAUGCCCCUUAUGACCUGGGCUACACACGUGCUACAAUGGAUGGUACAAAGGGCUGCGAGACCGCGAGGUCAAGCCAAUCCCAUAAAACCAUUCUCAGUUCGGAUUGU
rnacentral:rRNA from 1 species